rnacentral:ncRNA from 6 species
CCGAAGUUUCCCUCAGGAUAGCUGGCGU